UUUCAGAAACGCUAUGAAUAU
ensembl:piRNA 21ur-10545 ncRNA